UGAAUGUCCUAGGGGGUAUUGCACCUACCGAAGACUAUUAAACUCCGAAUGCCGUCAUCUUAUACUUGGGAGUCAGACUGUGGGUGAUAAGAUUCAUAGUCGAAAGGGCAACAGCCCAGAUCGUCAGCUAAGGUCCCUAAAUGUAAGUUAAGUGGUAAAGGAUGUGGGAUUGCACAGACAACCAGGAUGUUGGCUUAGAAGCAGCCACUCAUU
rnacentral:rRNA from 1 species